rnacentral:rRNA from 1 species
GUCGCCGUAGGAUAGGACAGUCGCGGAUCAUGGUUGAUGAAAGGGUAAAGUCCUUUCAUGCCUGUGACCCGGACGGGCGAUGUAAGUCGUGGCCCGGAGAAGGGAACUGAGACAAGGUCCCUAGCCCCACGGGGUGCAGCAGUUACGAAACCUCACCAAUGCGCGAAAGCGUGAGUGGGCCAAGCCGAGUGAUGGGAGAUAAUUCCAUCUGUGGCGAAACCGUAGUAAGGUUCGCUAGAAAGGAGAGGGCAAGGCUGGUGCCAGCCGCCGCGGUAAAACCAGCUCUUCGAGUGGUGUCCAUGAUUAUUGAGCUUAAAGCGUUCGUAGCCUGUUUGGUAGGUUCCUGCUCAAAUCCGGUCGCUUAACGGUCGGACUGGUAGGAAUACCGCCUUACUUGGGGACGGGAGACGGCGACGGUAUUCCGUAGGUAAGGGUGAAAUCUAAUGAUCUACGGAGGACCACCAGUGGCGAAGGCGGUCGUCGAGAACGUGCCCGACGGUGAGGGACGAAACCCAGGGGAGCAAAUCGGAUUAGAUACCCGAGUAGUCCUGGGCGUAAACGAUGCCCGUUAAGUGUUGCAUUGGCCACGAGCCACUGCAGUGCUGUAGCGAAAGCGAUAAACGGGCCGCUUGGGAAGUACGGUCGCAAGACUGAAACUUAAAGGAAUUGGCGGGGGAGCACCACAAGGGGUGGAGCUUGCGGUUUAAUUGGACAACGCCGGAAAUCUUACCCGCCCAGACAGCCGAAUGAGAGCCAGACUGAUGAUCUUGCUCGACGAGCUGAGAGCUGGUGCAUGGCCAUCGUAAAUUCGUGCCGUGAGGUAUCAGCUUAAGUGCUGCAACGAAUGAGAUCCCUGCCACCUAGUUGCCAGCCGGGGGCUUCGGCCCUGACGGGGCACACUAGGGGGACCGCUAGCGAGAAGCUGGAGGAAGGUGGGGGCCACGGUAGGUCAGUAUGCCGCGAUAUGGGCGGGGCCACACGCGUGCUACAAUGGCUGGGACAAUGCGUCACAACACCGAAAGGUGAAGUCAAUCGCGAAACCCAGUCGUAGUUGGAAUCGGGGGUUGGAACUCACCCCCGUGAACCUGGAAUCCCUAGUAUCCGCGUGUCACUAUCGCGCGGAGAAUACGUCCCUGCUUCUUGCACACACCGCCCGUCGCUCCAUGCGAGCGGAUCUGGGGUGAGGCAUCGUCCACUGGGCGCUGACGAAUCUUGGGUUCGCAAGUAGGGAGAAGUCGUAAC